UGGCCCUACUAUUGUACCAUAGAUGUACUAUUGUAACAUGGACAUACUAUUGUACCAUAGGUGUACUAUUGUACCAAAGCUAGAUAAACUGAAAUGCUAUACUUGAUUCAAUGAACUAUCCCACCAGGGAGAUGAGAUGUACAUUUCAAUGUAUUUGGAUCUUCUUUAACUACAGACAUAGAAAAGUGAGAACUUGCUCUUUCCUCAAUCAGGUUUUAUCUUGGAGGAACAAAAAAUCUAUUUUUAAAAAAGUUGACAUUUGACCAAAGCCUGACAGAGCAACACAGAGCCAAGCCAAACAUUCUACCAGGAAGCAAUCACAAUAGAGAUAUGUUCAAAAUUCAAUGUACACACACGCACAAGUAAUGGAAUGACAUCAUGGUAAAAGUUAUUAUGCACAGAAGAAAUGACUAACACAUACACAAUCAUUUGUAGUGAUUAUGUUAACUUUUUGUUUUGUUACUUAGCUCAACAAAAUUGUAGAUUUUUUUUUUUUGGAAAAGGGGGUGGUGGUGAACUAAUGCUAUCCAAAUAAAUUUGUUUUGUCUAAAAGGUUUUUCUUUCUCAAGUGAAAUGCUGAAAUGAUCUUUUAGUCAUUUACUUAACCAUACAGAAUCUCUAAAAGCCAUGCAAUCUGUUAUUAGGGUAUGCAUUUAAUUGCACACAUUACUUUAUUGUUGAAAAUGGCUUAACAAUAGGACCCUGCACUUUUUGCUCACUGAUUAGGGAAUCAUUUAAUACAUUUCAAAUAAAACCUUUAGAAACAAAGUCACUAGUUCAUUACAAACUAUUGCACAGAAUGGUAUAUAAUAUACAGUUCCAUCUUUAGAUCAACUCAGAAAACUACUGAAAAUUCUUUUUACACUGACAAACCUUCCACACUGAGUCAUAAUGAUACAAACAGAAAAUACUAUACAAAAGUUCUAUAACUGAAUCAACUCGGUGCAAAAAGUUCAAUCAUGCCUGAAAGUAGAACAAUUUGCAAUAACAAUGGAACCAAUGUGAUCUAAUGCAGGGUAUUAAAUAAAUAUAUGCAUAAUAUCUCAAUACAUGUAUAGAUAUAGUUCACUAAACUAGGACACCCCCACAGGUUUAUGACUUCCACCUGAUUUUCUAUGUACAAGGCUUGUAAUGAUGACUUUUAGACAUUUUUUUCUUCUAUUUAUUAGAACAGUUUAAGUGGUUUACACAGAUCUUAAUGACCAUUUGAAAAGAUUGUGGUUAGCUCAUGUUAUAUGAUUAAACAAAAGAAAUUACAAUCAGAUACCGGUACACUAACUGUGACAUAGGAAAUCAAGCAACUGGCCUGACACUGAAUUACCAAACCAGUGAUGGAUUGUGACAGCUAGUAUUUACAAAAUAAUCUCACUCAAUGUUAGGAACAAACUCAGAUGUGCAAAUACAGUCAUUAAGCAGUCACACUAAGCCUGAACCAACAUAGGUCCACAUGAACUGAAUCACCAAACCUAUAUACAGACUAAGACUUGUUAUGUCUGCACAGACUGACUUCUUUCCAAAGUGCAUUUACUAUGUUAAGGUUAGCAAAUGACUCAUCCUCAGUGACCUAGUUUAUAUUGCACUGGACAAAACUAUGCAUGAAACAAAAAUAUGUAAAAACUUGGAUUCAACUAAAAAAAAACAAAAAACUUUCACUUUGUAAAUAUUUUGCUUUAAAAAAAAAAAGUUUGAAAUUUAAAAUUAUUUUAUUUGAAAGAAAAAACAAAACAAAAAACUGCUCCUUUUACAGCUACAACUGAAGAUCAAUUUUACCACCAUUUCUGUAAUAACUAGAUUUAUAGAGAGAUUUUGCAUUAAUCACAAUUGAACCAAUAUACUCCAUUCUAAUCUAAAACAAAAUUGAUUUUUAAAAAAUAAAAAGUAGCCCAAUCUUCAAUAAUAUAGUCAUGUAAUGACUCAAAAUAUAUUAACAGCCAUUGAUUUAAUAAAUGAUAUUUAUGUCAUCUUGAAUAAAUACAAAUGCACAAUAAAUUUUUAGUUAUUACAUACAGCAUUUAAAAAUACAUCAAUGCAAUAUCUUAUCUAUGUAAACAAAUGACAUACAUGUAUACUUUUACAUUGACCAGGAAAUUAUUAUGAAUAAGCUACAGACACAAAGACAGGUCAAGUUAUCACAUUUUAAAGCCAAACAAUUGCACUUUUAAAAAAAAAAAGUAUAGCCCACAAUUCUUUUUGCCACUCAGCAAUAGUCUCCCUUGCCUUGUAAAGUUUACACAAACAUUCAACACACAAUUUUUUUUUCCAUUAAAAUGUUUUAAGCUUAUAAAAAAAAUGUACCCACAUCAUUUUGAUAUGGUUAAAAUGAAUUAUAAAACAGCUGAAAGGGAACAUAAACUACAAUCAACAGAACAACCCAAAAACUUUAAAGAAGCCCACAUUUCAUUGGCGAGAAAAUUGUGUUCUGGUUUUAAUAUUUUCAGAUACCAGGGGUAGUUUAGAUCUAAGAUUACAUUCUCGAAUAAAUGGCAUCAUGAGGGUCAUUGCACACCCUAGAGAUGCCACUGUCUGAAAUUUAAUUUUCUUUAAACUAUUUUCCAAACAUAUGUAUUAUGUUAAAGUAUGGCCAAAUGGAAAUAGAAAUGUAGGCAAACUCAUGUUUCUGAAAUGCUUUGUUGUAUCAUGACAAUUAAUUCCCUCAGUUUAGCUUGACUUAUACAAAUAAAUAAUAUUUAUUCACAAUAUAAUCAUUUCUAAAAAAAAUUGUUUAAAUAUUUUGAUCAAACUUUCAACAAAUGUUUCUCCUCAAAGAGAAAAAAAGAUGUUCUGAAUCACUUAGUUUUGGGUAAACUACUAUUCUCUUGUAAAGAUGUCUAAAUGUGUAAUUUAAUCAUUUUAUUCAAGAAAUCUUUUUUUUUUUAAAGUCAAAGUGACCCAGCACUAUUUUAAAAGGGAUAUAUUAAAAAAAAUGGCUACAGAAAUUUUAUUAUUAGUCAGGAAAUAAUCAGAUUAUAUGUAAUGGUAUACCAUUGUGUUCUUUAUUUAAGAAGAUGUUUUCAAUUCAAACAGAAAAAAACACGUUUCUAUGUUUUUUAACCAAAACAUACUGGUUUCCAGGACAAUAGUGCAAAAUGUGUCAAGAGAGUUAUCCUCCCUGUAUCUAGUAUUUGGUGGUGACAUCCUGAAAGAAAGACAAAGAAAGUCAAAAUGUUGGACAAACCAGAUAAAACAUUGUCAAGCCAAGCUCUUAGUCAAAGUAUCAUGUAAGAGAUGCUCUUUCAAAAUCUAAAAAUAUGGGGUUGGCAUAAAAAAAUUUAAAUAUAGUGGUUGUUUUUUUUAAAAAGCUGUCUUAUUUAAAAAUACAAGUUUCCAUGUGUUUUGUGUGUGGUUAAAAAGUCAUAUUUUUUGUGUGUGUGAUUAAAAGAUAUUUUUUAUUGACUACAUGUGGUUGUAAUAUUGUUGCUUUCAGCUAUUAAUAAAAUUUACAAAUAAAAUUUAUUUUAAAAAAAAAGGGGGGGGG